rnacentral:rRNA from 1 species
CAGCCGCCGCGGGAAUACGAAGGGUGCAAGCGUUACUCGGAAUUACUGGGCGUAAAGCGUGCGUAGGUGGUGGUUUAAGUCCGUUGUGAAAGCCCUGGGCUCAACCUGGGAAUUGCAGUGGAUACUGGGUCACUAGAGUGUGGUAGAGGAUAGUGGAAUUUCCGGUGUAGCAGUGAAAUGCGUAGAGAUCGGAAGGAACAUCUGUGGCGAAGGCGACUAUCUGGGCCAACACUGACACUGAGGCACGAAAGCGUGGGGAGCAAACAGGAUUAGAUACCCGUGUAGUCCCUGUCUCUUAUAA